rnacentral:lncRNA from 1 species
GGAACUCUGGGAAAGAGAGACGGGCGGGAGAUUUGCUACUGUGAUGCGGAGAAAGUUGGACGUAUGUAACCGAGGAGGGUUACCCUCAGUGGGAGGUGCAAGCCGCCGAACAGCUCAACAGAGACAACACGCGGAAGAUACCUAUCUAAGCCCAGACAGAAGCCCUUGAACAGCUGAAUUCGUGCUCAAUGAUUCUCAUGGUUCCGUGAUGGUGCUGAAUCCAGACGGGAAAGCAGAGUGCUGUGCAUGGGAGGCAGCUUUGGCAUUUCACAUACCAUGGACAGAGAAUACGUGGAGGGAGUCACGAGGGCGAGGUACUAUUUGAAAAACAAGGCAACUGGAAGACUUUGCUCAGAGGAAGGUACCCAGGAGCUGCUGCCAAAGAGCCAAAUCUCGCUUCUUCAGCUCAGCACCGUGGAGGUCGCCAUGCAGCUCUCCACGAGUUCCAAUGUUGAAUUCUUCCACAACAUUGAGCCUAAUGAAUACAUAGGUGAUUUAUUUAAACUCAAAUAAAAAACCAGCUUAGCCAACCUGAAGAAACUUGAGGAAGUCUUUAACCAGGAAACAUUUGGGUGGCUUCUGAAAUCCUGGGAGAGACAACUAGCUGAAAGAGAAUGAAGAUCUUCAAGCCUUCAUUAAGAUUGCCUCGCACUGUAGGGAAUGCAAGAAUUUUAACUCCAUGUUUGCAGUCAUCAGGAUGAAGUGGACUGCUGCCUUGUUUUAGCUGAGCCAAUUCAUUACAAGUGGCAUCAAGAACACUUUCCCCUGUCACUCUUGCAACUCAGCAGCCAACAUGAGAGACAUACACCUACGGCAGCAUGUUGGAAGUUUGGAAGGGAGAUGUUGAUCUUUAAGAAGAAAUCAUCCAGCCAAGAACUUCAGAUCAAAUGUUUUAGAACACAGACCAUUUUGAUUAGAGCUUGCUAGGGGGCGCUAUAUGGUUUUGGUUUGAACUUUGGGAAAAGCCAAGCUUGAAAGGACUAGACCACAGUUUAUAAAAUGAAGCCAUGAAAGUAGGUAGGGAAGGAAGCAGCCACUACCUAAGAGCUGUCUUCCCUGUCUCCCCCGCUGAGAGCUGUGCAUGUCACAGGCAAGUAGGAGGAAGGGAAUGAGGCAAGAGUAGGAGUCAGAUGAGGUUUACAUCUCAAAGAGACUGGGAAUCCCCAGUGCUUAGACCCUGGCUCAUGAAGAGACAGACCAGGAGUGGUCAUGGGAGGAUACCCCAAGGUGAUGGUGCUAAGGCCUGGGGUCAUUAAAUGACCUGCACAUAGCCACAUGUCACUGAGCACUUAACGCUGAUCUUCAAUUCUGAGCAUCCAGUUUUUGUACUCUAUAAAUUUAGUAUAAUAUCACAUUCUAUGUUAGAGUCAUUUUGACACUUAAAUAAAAUUGUUAUCCAGUA